GUGCUUCCUUCAGCAGCACAUACACUAAAGCUGGAAUGACAGGUAAGAUUAGCAAGGUCCCUGUGCAAGGAUGACAUGCAAAUUCAUGAAGCAUUCCAUAUUUUU